rnacentral:lncRNA from 1 species
UUUAAAAUCUCCCUCACAAAACCCGAUCGUUCUCUCUCAAGUUUGACAUCCACUCCACCCCUUAAGCUCACAAGGUUGACCUCCACACUCUGCUUCGCUACGCUUUGGCCUAUCUUUGGUCCUUCACGCAUUGGCUUCAAUUUGAUGGUUUUCAGUUGGGCAACUGAGGAAUUGCUUCAACCUUUUCACUUUGUUGUUGUCUGAGGCUUCAAGCUCUUGGGUUUUCGUGGGUACUCAGCAGCUGACAUGGGGUGAGCUCUUCUCAAUUCUUGGUGUUUCAGCCAUGGAUGUUCUGGUAAUGCUUUGCUUUCCAUUUUUUUUUUUUUUUUGUGUUUUUUGUUUUUGUUUUGUUUUGUUUUGUUUUUUUUGUAGUUGGUGUUUUCUUUUUACUAAAAAAAAUUAUGGCUAAAAUUAGGCUAAUAAAAAUAUGGCUUAAUUACAUUUGUGCAGUCUUCUAACAGUUUUAUUUAACAAAAGGUCUUUGGAAUGUUUACUUAUCAGGAAUGAGUAUUGGAAUGAAUCCAAUAUAUGCUUCUCCUCUGUUUACUAACAUAUGGGUAUUGGAAUGAUUCCAAUCUGAUUUUCCGCCUUUACUGACAAGUAAGGAAUAAAAUAUUAUGCGAAUUCUACCGUAAAAUCCGUAAUUAAAUACCCUCAAAAUCGGGAAUGGUAUCAACUAGGGGGAGUAGUUGAUCCGGUUCCAAUACCUUGAUUCUCUUAUCUAAAUUCCCUGAUUCAUGGCUUCCUCCAUUUCCGGUAAGUAAACAUGUACAAUAGUAAUAAGAUUAUAGUCAGGAUUUAGCACACUUUAGUAACCUUUCAUGUUACCAACAAAUGGUAGUUCUUUCAAUUGAUUUGACAAAGAAUUGAUUUUGAGCUCCAUUGCAAUGUUGCUGAACUAGACAGAUAUAACUGAUAAUAUUAAAACUAGAAAAACCUAAUAUAAAAUAGUUAUGGUGCUUGAUUGUGAAUCUAAUUCUAAGCCAUAUGUUCUCUUUACAAGUAUUUCUUUAUUGUUUACCUAAAAACUAUUUUUCACUUUUUGUUGAAGUAGUAAAAAGCAAAGAUGCACACCAAUUUAUAUAUUAAAACUUUGUGCAUCUUAAGCAAAGGACAUUACCCUAGUUGUUAAAACUCACGUCACUGUCGAUACUUGUGAGGAUGAAAUGAGAAAAACCUCACCCUGCA